GAUGAACGCUGGCGGCGUGCCUAAUACAUGCCAGUCGAGCGAACGGACGAGAAGCUUGCUUCUCUGAUGUUAGCGGCGGACGGGUGAGUAACACGUGGAUAACCUACCUAUAAGACUGGGAUAACUUCGGGAAACCGUAGCUAAUACCGGAUAAUAUUUUGAACCGCAUGGUUCAAAAGUGAAAGACGGUCUUGCUGUCACUUAUAGAUGGAUCCGCGCUGCAUUAGCUAGUUGGUGAGGUAACGGCUUACCAAGACAACGAUGCAUAGCCGACCUGAGAGGGUGAUCGGCCACACUGGAACUGAGACACGGUCCAGACUCCUACGGGAGGCAGCAGUAGGGAAUCUUCCGCAAUGGGCGAAAGCCUGACGGAGCAACGCCGCGUGAGUGAUGAAGGUCUUCGGAUCGUAAAACUCUGCUAUUAGGGAAGAACAUAUGUGUAAGUAACUGUGCACAUCUUGACGGUACCUAAUCAGAAAGCCACGGCUAACUACGUG
rnacentral:rRNA from 1 species